rnacentral:rRNA from 1 species
CCACCCGUAGGCAGCAGUGGGGAAUAUUGGGCAAUGUGCACAAGCCUGACCCAGCAACGCCGCGUGCAGGAAGAAGGCUUUCGGUUUGUAAACUUCUUUUGUCAGGGACGACGCAAGUGACGGUACCUGACGAAUAAGCCACGGCUAACUACGUUCCAGCAGCCGCGUUAAUACGUAGGUGGCAAGCGUUAGCCGUAUUUACUGGGUGUAAAGUGCGUGUAGGCGGGACUGCAAGUCAGAUGUGAAAACCACGGGCUCAACCUGUGGCCUGCAUUUGAAACUGUAGUUCUUGCGUACUGGAGAGGCAGACGGAAUUCCUAGUGUAGCGGUGAAAUGAGUAGAUAUUAGGAGGAACACCAGUGGCGAAGGCGGUCUGCUGGACAGCAACUGACGCUGAGGCGCGAAAGCGUGGGGAGCAAACAGGAUUAGAUACCCCGGUAGUC